AUAAGGUUAAAUUAUUUCAGAAAUAACCCUGAAUUGAACUUGUGAAUUCAAAAUAUAAAAUGAGCUACGCAAUGCAGGGGAGCCUUUCAAGGGGCGGGGGCUACCAGCCUCAGGGGGACCCUAAGGACCCCACCCUCAUGUGGCAGCAGGGGCACUACAUGGGCCCCGAUUCUGGAAUCCAUUCAGGGGCACAAACCCAGGCCCCUUCACUUACAGGUCAUGAAGAGGAUAUGGAUACCGGGGGUCAAGACCAGGUUAUAUUUGACAUGGACCAGGGAUAUAACCAAUCCUACACUCAGGACCAGGUUGAUGAGAUGAAUCAACAGCUCAAUCAAACCAGAUCCCAGAGGGUUCGAGCUGCCAUGUUCCCGGAGACCCUGGAUGAAGGAUUAGAGAUUCCUUCCACCCAACUUGAUCCUGCUCAACCAACUGCAGUUCAGAGACUAUCAGAACCAUCACAGAUGUUGAAGCACGCUGUGGUGAACCUAAUUAACUACCAGGAUGAUGCCGACCUCGCCACCAGGGCGAUCCCUGAGCUGAUCAAGCUGUUGAACGACGAGGAUCAGGUGGUCGUGUCCCAGGCCGCCAUGAUGGUGCACCAGCUCAGCAAGAAGGAGGCCUCUAGGCACGCUAUCAUGAACUCUCCCCAGAUGGUGGCCGCGCUUGUGCGUGCCAUCUCCAACACGAACGACCUCGAGUCGACCAAGGGAGCUGUUGGAACCCUGCACAAUCUCUCCAUGCAUAAACAGGGUCUCCUUGCUAUAUUUAAAUCCGGAGGUAUACCUGCCCUCGUUAAACUCCUUUCUUCUCCUGUUGAAUCUGUUCUGUUCUACACUAUCACCACCCUGCACAACCUCCUGCUCCAUCAGGAAGGAUCUAAAAUGGGUGUCCGACUAGCUGGAGGCUUACAGAAAAUGGUCGCUCUCCUUCAGAGGAACAACGUCAAGUUCCUGGCCAUAGUAACCGACUGCCUGCAGAUCCUGGCCUACGGGAACCAGGAGAGUAAACUGAUCAUUCUGGCAAGCCAGGGACCCCUAGAGCUGGUUAGGAUUAUGAGGAGCUACACCUACGAGAAGUUGUUGUGGACUACCAGCAGGGUGCUGAAGGUUCUGAGUGUGUGCUCCAGCAACAAGCCUGGUAUAGUAGAUGCUGGAGGUAUGCAGGCUCUAGCUAUGCAUCUUGGACACGACAGUCAGAGAUUAGUACAGAACUGCUUGUGGACAUUGAGAAAUCUUUCUGAUGCUGGAACUAAGAUAGAGAACUUAGACAAUCUGAUGCAGGGUUUGGUACAGUUGCUUGGUUCAACUGAUGUCAACAUUGUGACCUGUGCUGCUGGAAUCCUUUCCAACCUUACCUGUAACAAUCAGAAAAACAAGGUGAUAGUUUGCCAGGUUGGAGGGAUUGAAGCUCUGGUCCGAACUAUAAUUGCUGCUGGAGAUAGAGAGGAGAUUACCGAACCUGCUGUAUGUGCACUAAGACAUCUAACAUCCAGGCAUCCUGAAUGCGAGGUUUCCCAAAACACUGUGAGGCUGCAGGGUGGCCUCCCAACCAUCGUGAGGCUGAUGCAUCCUCCUUCAAGAUGGCCUCUGGUCAAGGCUGUUAUCGGAUUGAUCCGUAACCUAGCUCUGUGUGCUGCUAACCAUGCUCCGCUCAGAGAGAACGGUUCCAUCCCUCGCCUAGUUCAUCUUCUCAUCAGAGCUUUCCAGGAUACUCAUGGGAGAUCCCGUAACUCUGGUUCCGGACCCGCUGGUUCCUAUGCUGACGGUGUAAGGAUGGAAGAAAUAGUUGAAGGAACUGUAGGGGCUCUUCAUAUCCUGGCUAGGGAGGCACAUAAUAGAGCAAUUAUCCGCGGCCUGUCCGUGAUCCCAAUCUUUGUCCAGCUGCUCUACAACGAGAUCGAGAACAUCCAGAGGGUCGCCGCAGGGGUUCUGUGUGAGCUUGCUGCUGACAAGGAGGGAGCAGCUAUGAUUGAGCAGGAGGGCGCUACUGCUCCUCUAACAGAGCUGCUUCACAGCAGAAACGAGGGCGUAGCAACUUACGCGGCAGCAGUUCUAUUCCGUAUGUCUGAGGAUAAGGGAGGAGAAUAUACCAAGAGAUUGAGCCAGGAGCUCAGGAGCUCACUUUAUCAGAGGGGACAGGAGGAGAGCCUCUGGGGGAAUGAGCAUAUGCCCCCUGCAGAUUUACAGGAUAUGAUGGGGUACCAGUAGACGGUAUGCAAGGUCUGGAUAUAGGUUCUCAUCCAGGAUCCACAUAUGGACAGGUUCAGGAUAUGGAUAUGGGAGACCAUAUGAACUAUGAU
rnacentral:misc_RNA from 1 species